rnacentral:rRNA from 1 species
AGGGUUUGAUCCUGGCUCAGGACGAACGCUGGCGGCAUGCCUAACACAUGCAAGUCGAACGAGAAAGUUCCUUCGGGAGCGAUUAAAGUGGCGCACGGGUGAGUAACGCGUAGACAAUCUGCCCUUCAGUCUGGGACAACUUUUCGAAAGAAGAGCUAAUACCGGAUAACAAUGUUUAACCUAAGUUAAGUAUUUGAAAGCUUUAUGUGCUGAAGGAGGGGUCUGCGUCCCAUUAGCUAGUUGGUAAGGUAAAGGCUUACCAAGGCGACGAUGGGUAGCGGGUUUGAGAGGACGAUCCGCCACACUGGAACUGAGACACGGUCCAGACUCCUACGGGAGGCAGCAGUGGGGAAUAUUGCACAAUGGAGGCAACUCUGAUGCAGCAAUGUCGCGUGAGUGAAGAAGGCCCUUGGGUCGUAAAGCUCUUUUAUGGGGGAAGAUGAUGACGGUACCCCAAGAAUAAGCACCGGCUAACUAUGUGCCAGCCGCCGCGGUAAUAC